rnacentral:rRNA from 1 species
GACGAACGCUGGCGGCGUGCUUAACACAUGCAAGUCGAACGGAAAGGCCCUGCUUUUGUGGCGCGCUCGAGUGGCGAACGGGUGAGUAACACGUGAGUAACCUGCCCUUGACUUUGGGAUAUCUUCAGGAAACUGGGGCUAAUACCGGAUAGGAGCUCCUGCUGCAUGGUGGUGGUUGGAAAGUUUCGGCGGUUGGGGAUGGACUCGCGGCUUAUCAGCUGGUUGGUGGGGUAGUGGCUUACCAAGGCUUUGACGGGUAGCCGGCCUGAGAGGGUGACCGGCCACAUUGGGACUGAGAUACGGCCCAGACUCCUACGGGAGGCAGCAGUGGGGAAUAUUGCACAAUGGGCGGAAGCCUGAUGCAGCGACGCCGCGUGCGGGAUGACGGCCUUCGGGUUGUAAACCGCUUUCGCCUGUGACGAAGCGUGAGUGACGGUAAUGGGUAAAGAAGCACCGGCUAACUACGUG